rnacentral:tRNA from 1 species
GGUCCUGUAGUUUAAUGGAUAGAACAACGGUCUUCGGAACCGUUGGUGGGGGUUCGAUUCCCUCCAGGACCACAA